rnacentral:lncRNA from 1 species
CCAAGUUCACCUAAAGCCCAUGAAAUGUCUAUAAAUAGAGACCACUGUCAUUCAUUUUAAAAGGGGUCUUUGGUUGAAAGAAGAAUUGAAGCUCUGAAGAAUUGAAGAUUCAAACUUCUACAAGCUCUCAAGACGUGCAAGUUUGUAUCAACUUCGAGAUCAACAACUUCUGAAAGAUUGAAGACUUGGAAAAUUAAACUUUUCUUGGAUUCCAGAAGAUCGAAGUUCAAAUCAACGUGCAACUACAACAUCCUGAAGAUCGAAGAUCAAAAAGUUCUAAGUUUUAACUUGUAUUCGAGAAAAAACAUCAAAAGAGUAAAUACUAGAGGUUGUAUUCACAAUAUUCUUUAAUAUAUAAAGUUCAACUCCACGAAAUACAUUUCUUCAAAAUCUCGUGUGAACAGUUUGACACGUCCAGUGAGACAAUCUCUACCUUUCAUCUCUUUCUCUUUUGAAGAACAUCUAAAGAAAUCAUGUCGAUUGACGAACAAAUG